rnacentral:rRNA from 1 species
UACGGGGGGGGCAAGCGUUGUUCGGAAUUACUGGGCGUAAAGGGCUCGUAGGCGGCCAACUAAGUCAGACGUGAAAUCCCUCGGCUAAACCGGGGAACUGCGUCUGAUACUGGAUGGCUAGAGGUUGGGAGAGGGAUGCGGAAUUCCAGGUGUAGCGGUGAAAUGCGUAGAUAUCUGGAGGAACACCGGUGGCGAAGGCGGCAUCCUGGACCAAUUCUGACGCUGAGGAGCGAAAGCCAGGGGAGCAAACGGG